GUCCACGCCCUAAACGAUGUCAACUAGUUGUUCGGUGAGGAGACUCAUUGAGUAACGCAGCUAACGCGUGAAGUUGACCGCCUGGGGAGUACGGCCGCAAGGUUAAAACUCAAAGGAAUUGACGGGGACCCGCACAAGCGGUGGAUGAUGUGGAUUAAUUCGAUGCAACGCGAAAACCUUACCUACCCUUGACAUGUCAGGAAUCCUUGAGAGAUUGAGGAGUGCCCGAAAGGGAACCUGAACACAGGUGCUGCAUGGCUGUCGU
rnacentral:rRNA from 1 species